rnacentral:rRNA from 1 species
GGAUUUUUAAGUGAGGUGUGAAAGCCCCGGGCUUAACCUGGGAAUUGCAUUUCAGACUGGGAAUCUAGAGUACUUUAGGGAGGGGUAGAAUUCCACGUGUAGCGGUGAAAUGCGUAGAGAUGUGGAGGAAUACCGAAGGCGAAGGCAGCCCCUUGGGAAUGUACUGACGCUCAUGUGCGAAAGCGUGGGGAGCAAACAGGAUUAGAUACCCUGGUAGUCCACGCUGUAAACGCUGUCGAUUUGGGGGUUGGGGUUUAACUCUGGCGCCCGUAGCUAACGUGAUAAAUCGACCGUCUGGGGAGUACGGCCGCAAGGUUAAAACUCAAAUGAAUUGACGGGGGCCCGCACAAGCGGUGGAGCAUGUGGUUUAAUUCGAUGCAACGCGAAGAACCUUACCUACUCUUGACAUCCAGAGAAUCCUGUAGAGAUACGGGAGUGCCUUAGGGAGCUUUGAGACAGGUGCUGCAUGGCUGUCGUCAGCUCGUGUUGUGAAAUGUUGGGUUAAGUCCCGCAACGAGCG